UUUUAGAUUCUGUUUGUGAAGGAUCUGGAACGGCAUUGCUAGGAAGCUCUCCCGCUAUUUUCUGUGUGUGUAGGCUGCAAUUCCCUUCUCUUCGUACCGUGGAGGUAUUGCGGCAGAAGUCAUCUUUGUUCCCUAUGAUCAAUGCACGACAUUGGGGUUCGGUGUGUUUGGCAACCGAGCGUUGGCAUGGAGGUGCGGCGGCGCUACAGUGAAGGAUCAGAGUGAUUGUUUUGGUUGUUUAUUCUCUCCUUCGGUGAAGGGGGGGACGGGCAGUGUUGUUGAGUCUGAGGUCUUAUUCUGUCAGUGCAGCGGUGGAGCUAGACAUGGUGUGGUUGCUGAUCCGGUGGCUUUGAAAAUUAGUACUAAGGUGGUGAACUUGACGACUGGCCAACAGCGUGGGUGGAGCAAGAAAGCGUGCUUGUUGCUACAAUGCGUUUUCAUGAGGUCCAAUUCUUGCCACUAUUCUGUGGAAGAGAUCGGAAUCAAGAGCAGAGUAGAGCAUGCGAGUUGUAUUCCUGGGGGUCAUUGGUGGUAUUGGAGGUGUCGCGACAGUGGUGAUCUAUUCUUGCAGAGAGAAAGUAUUCGUCGUGGUCAAGUUGGCAGAUACUGCUACAGAGAGGAGGAUUGAAUCUCUUUAUUUUCGCUGCACACUUACCGAUCUUUGAGACUCUUGCCGUCUCAUUUGGUGCCUGAUGCUUAAUCUCAAACUUAUGGAAGUUGGAGAUGGAUGUUUUUUGGUCGGUGUAAUGUUUUAUUAAAGACUUGUGAUCUACAUUGUUGGGGUGCUGUGAUGUUUGGCCGAUCCUCCCUGACAGCAUCGUUUCCUGUUCUGGAGCUCGUCUAGCACCUGGCGAUCGAGGCAGAGGUGGCUGAGCGUCGCAGACCAUGGUGGAGUCAACUCACAGCACGUUGACUAGGGAGCCGACCCCUUCCAACCCGGUGAGGUUCCCGGAUGGAUGAAGCUAGAUUAAGUAAAUUGAAGUAGAUUUUAAAAAUUAGGUUAGAAGAAUUUUAGGUGAAACGGAUGACUUUUUAUAUGGAUGAAAAAAUUAAUAGAUUGGGUGAAUAUUUUUAACAUGAA